CCCCACUGAGGGACAAGGGUGCAAGAAAAUGGAUGGAUGGAUAGUCAUAAAACCAGUGUGUGAUAAUUAACUGUAGGUUGUUACUAUCCAUGGUUUGUUUUCUGUUUUUUUUUUUUUAAUUCGGAAACGUGAGAAAAACCCAAAAACAUUAACUCUGCAACACAAAUUGAUCCAAAUUUAAAGGUCAUGGUGGUUUAUGUGUCGCAGAGGCAUCUGCAUGCAAAUUUCCAGUAAUAUAGGAACGACAAAAAUUUGCUUGAGUGAUGUGUGUGGUGGAAUCAUGCAAAUGUUUUUUCAUGGUGCAGCCAGUUCACAUUUUGUAAUGCUGUAUUCAUCAGUCGGUCAUUUUUCAGUAAUGCAUCAGUGGUGAUCUGUGGUGGACGUCUUUGCAUUAACUGUAAACCCCACAGUUAAAUGGGACAUUUGCAWUCAUCAUCAUGGAAAUUAUUAGCAUAUUGUGUCUGUGUCUCUUUUAGACAUUGGUUAAUCCCAAGUUGUCCAGGCUGGUGACUGCACACKUAUAACUUCAGUGAUAUUUUUAAAACCAAGAACUGGGUGCGUACRUUUGUAUUUAUUGUUGGAUUUUCUUUAAUUCACUCAGGAUCAACGUUGUAAAGUAAAUAUGGGCUCAAAUAUUUACUUAUUCCUCCUUAAAUGUUCACAACCAUCAUCCUACUACUUCCUGUCGUCGUCGUUUUCGCGGUUUUCGCCAAUAGCAACAUCCGGUUGUUGAUCACGUGACUCGUGUGACGCGAAAAAAKCAGUUUUGCAGUUUUGCUAAAUACGUCUAUUUUGAGAAACCRCCGUAUCUUAGCGCAAGAGCUUUCGAAAUUGGCAGGUUUCCAUUAAGCAAAUUUAUUUUCCUUAUUUUCCGCCACUGUAUGGUUAAUGCAAAUGCAGCCUGUUAGUCUCUUAUUAAUAAUUUUCUAUCAAUUUCCUAUCGUUCGACACCUCAAAUUAACUCAAACUUCCUUUAUCUAGUGAGUGUAUGCUUACUUCUGACGCAUCCAGUUUGCAACUUGAACUUCGACUGCAAACAGUCAAAAGUAACAUAGGCUAAUUCAGAUCACGCAUAUUCGAUUAAAAUGAAAAUUUCAUUGUAAACAAACUCGUGUUUCCUUCAGAAAGAGUCUCCAGAUUUUAUCCGCAGGAAAAUGGCUCAAGUACAGGUGCUUUUUAAUGACGGCCGUCCUUCUCUCCUCAGCUCUGGGAUUUAUGGACAGCUGGGGCCUUCAGGCCCCAUUCUCCAGCUGCAACAGGACUCGAUCCUCUUAUUCUGUCUGAGCCUCAGGACCCGAAGCUCAGUUUUCAGAAUAAAUUGUUAUUCCACCCAAAUGGGGGCAUGAUGACAUCAGCUCCACCAUCUAAUGUGUUUGCGCAGCGUUGAUGUGGAGUCAGUAAAGUUGUGAAGAGAGAUGCAGCAGAUAAUUUA